rnacentral:misc_RNA from 1 species
UUGCUUUAACUUCAAAGGUGGAACUUGUUGUCAGGAAUUGCUGUCAUCGUGUUGAUGGUUCUGAGUGUUUGCUAUGCAUUUCUUAGAGUAUUUAAAAACUACAAAAAAGGAAUAUUGCUGUAUAAAAUACAAAUGGCACAACAAAACUCAUCAACGUCACUGACAUCCAGAAUAACGCCUUCCAGAAAUCGUCAAAGAAUUGUAACCAUUCCUCGCAUUGAAAUUACUGAACCAGCAGAGGAUGUAAUGGAAACAAUUGAGAUUUUCAACAGGUAUUUAGAAAGACCACCCUCUUACGAAGGCCUGGAUCCACCUCCGUAUGACGUUGCUGUCCAGAUGUGAACUUCGUUGCCAAUUAUGCAAAUAGAAAAACUUGUGUGAAUUGUUUUUAACGAGUUUUAAUAUCACAGUUUUUAAGCUCAUUUAGAAGUGCGAUAAAAUAUUUUAUUGCAUACAGAUUUGUAUAAAUGAUUAAGAAUAAAGAACAAAAUAAAGUGUUUUAAAAUAUA